GCGGCUGAGGAGAGACAAUUUAGCUGUUAGGUCUGGAGCUGAGAGAGACACACAUGGAGCCUCAUGUGUAGCAAAAUGCUGUUUAUUUUGAGCAUCCGGGUGCAGGGUGAAAAAGUCAUCUAUGAGAGAAAAGGGAAGAGCCUUGGAUUUUAUAGAGGAUUUUUCUGGGAGGAGUAAAUAAAUUCUCUUCAAACAACCGUGAGGGAUUAAAAAAAAAAAAAAUGAAUUUGUUACAAGCUUCCAAGUGCAGGUUUUUCCAAGUUCUUGGUGAUUGUCAGCAAAAGAAUUUCAGGAUAUAACCACAUAAGCCAAGCAAUUACGUGUUUGGGGCGUCGCUGUCUUCAAUGGCCAUUGCUUUGCUGGGACAUGGUUUGUACCUGCCGGAGAAGGAAUGAGCAAACGAGAUACGAUGAUGAACGUAUGCUUGCUUUGCUGCAGCAAUCUCUUUCAAGAGGAAUAACACACAAACAAAGGCCAGCUGAAAGUGCAGUGGACCUCACCCUUGGAUCAGGGAAACAUGGAAACGUGGAGGACAAAGCAGUCUGAUCAGCCCCAGAUCCUCAAGUUGGUCUUUUUAUCCCCCCUAAGACACCAUGCUCGCUCCUUCUCCAAGAUUCAUAAGGAAAUACAAAUGCCUUUCAAAUAUCAGCUACUGUUACCAGCUCAAAUUGCUCCAGCAAAUCUGAUAAGCCAACAGAUUUACCUUAUGGCCCAAGAGAUCCAACAAUGCAUUUCCUAGGAGAGUAUUUCUGUGAUCUCAUCUGUACAUGAGUUUCUAGAAAUGUUAUCAAUCCUGUCUACUAAGUACACAGAAUUUUUGUUAUUAAAUCUUUGUAAAAAUGGAAAAUUCUUCUUUUCAGAGGCAUCUAGUUUUACCUAAUCUCUCUCUUCUCCAAAUUCCAAGUUCCAAAAUUAAUCCUUUAAUUUAUUCUACUGAUGUCUGAUGUUUUCUUUUUUUCAUUUUGACUUUCUUUCUCAUGAACUUCAAAUCCCACCUGAUAAAUGAAAACCAGAAAUUUCAAAGAGUAUAUUCAUGAGCAUGGUUUUGUAAUGUUAAAUCAACCUUGCAUAUGAUUGGUAUGGGAAGAUGCCAUUCCCCUCCAUAUGAAUUUAGGGAAGACGUGAAAGUCAGUUCUAUUAGUUUCAGAAGAUUUAGUUCAACAUUUUUGUGCUCAUUGUUUAGGGGUAGAGGGUCAUUUGUCUCUUCUUCCCUUUUUUAAAAAAAAAUUGACUGAGUAAUUUUAUCUCUAGGUCCCCAUUUCUAAAAACACAUCCUGGGUUGGGUGAAAUUUAAAAAAGAUACAAUUACUAAUAAUGGUUUCAUUUACUAUAACCAUCGAUUGAUUUUUUAUAAAUUGUUCAUUUUCCAAGUGGGCUUUGAACUUAUCUUUAAGCACUGAAAACUUUAUUGAUGUACGUCCUGGACAAAUGAAACCAAACUUCAUUUUACUCCAUUGAAAGUCUGUUUACUAAAGUCACUAAAUCACCCUGUUUCUGACCUCAGCUAGAGGUUCAACCCCUUUUUCACAGCCAUUAACUUUUUCAGCGUUUCACCAAGCAGAUGUGUGUUCCGUAGCUUAAUCUUUUCCAUGCUAGAUGAUACAGCAGGUCUCCAUCUGAUGUGGGCCUUGCUGCAGCAUGGAAAUCUCAUUCAUCAAAUCUGAUUUUGUUUACAUAUGAUAAAUUUGUCCAUUUUGUUUACAUAUGAUAAAUUCAAAAUAAUUUUUUUCAGAGAGGAGUCAUAAGUUUUGCUCAGAAAAUAAGAGACACAGAUAUCGGUAUGGUAAAUCCCUCCCAGUGUGCUUUCAAGGAAAGCGUAUUGAUGUCCCUCAUCUCAUUAUUUCUUCGUACGCAUGCUACAUUCACAUAUUUGAGUCAAAUUCACACAUUAGAGUCACAAAUCAUCAAUGAUAUCAAAAGACCUAUCUUUGCCACUCUAAAUCAUUUUUCACAUAAAACGUCCAGGGCUAUGUUUGCAUACAUAGAUGAAAAGAAGAGAAGUUAAAAAAGUAACCUACGAAAUUGGAGACAUAAGCUUAUUUAGUUAGUUAUCUAAUUUUUGCCUAUUUUAGGUGGAAAUAAAUUACA